rnacentral:tRNA from 1 species
GAGAGAGUGCCCGCACAGCAUCGAAGAAUGCUAACCUUCGAUAUCUUUAGUUAAACUCUAAAGCUCACUCG